rnacentral:tRNA from 1 species
GAUGUCGCCCCACCCGAUUGCAAGUCUAACUAGAGGAGCUUGCUCACCGUGGUAAAU